CCGAUAAUGAUAAAAAAAAAAAAAAAAACAGUUAUAAUAUAUAACGUUAUCGUCUAUUUUGAAUUUAAUAAAUAAACCAUUCGUAAUAAUAUGUGUAUGUUGAUUUUCGAUAACAUAAACGUGUUCGCGUAAAUAGGUAAAUACACGUGUUGCCACACGUAGGUAGAUACCUGGUAUACAGUUUGACAAAAAAAAAAAAAAAAAAAAAAAAAAUGUAAUAUAAAAAAAAGGAAAGUAAUUGUAUUUUUUUAUUUUUAAUUUACACAAUAUAUAAUAAUACAUUACUAGCAUCUACUAGCGUCUAUUAUACAUAAUAUAUACAGGGUGUAUUGGCAGGAUUUGAUAAUAGUGCCUAUAUGCAAUAUUAUUGCAAUUGCAAAUAUCGUUAAAACCUGUAAAUACAGAGUGUAUACUGUAUAUAGAAUCAAAUUCAUUUAUUAUUAUUAUUUUUUUUCAAUUAUAAUAUGUAGGCAUAACAAAAAAAAAAAGGAAAGAAUUUGUUUUUUUUUUUUUUUUUUGUUUUUAAUAAUAAUUAUAUAACAUUUCAACAAAAUAAUAAUAUUAUGAUAGUGUUUAACUUAUUAUCGUAAUAAUAAUAUUGUAAUCGUUAUUUUCGGUUUGUAUAAUUAAUGUUAUUAAAAUCGUAUAAUAUAUUAAUUUCAAUAGUAUAUGUAUGUAUAGUAAAAUUAUUAUUUAAGUACAACAUAAUAAUAAUAAUUAUAAUAAUAAUAAUAAUAACGCGGGUAUACAAUAAUAAUAUUUUGUAUAUUAUACAAAACGAACAAUAUUAAUAAUAGGGCGUCCCGAAGGUACAUAUCUAUAGGUAGGUACUUAAAUAAUAAUAUUAUAAUGUCAAACAUAACAAUGAUAAUACGUAAACGUAAUAUUAUAAAACAAUAAUAAUAUUAUUAUUAUUGAAUCGCUCUAAAUAAACGGUAUGUAUAGCCGAUAUAGUAAUAAUUAUUAAUAUACCUAGUAGAAAUUUUAAAACGAUAAAUUCCGAUUAUAAUCAUAUUAUUAUUAUUAUUGUAAAAUGCAAAUCGUGGUUCAAGAAAAUACCGUUAGACGACUAGUGAUAAGGUGACCGUAAAACUAAAUUCGUUAUCUAAAGGUAGGAAUAUGAUGCGCAGAACGGAUCGUUUUCGCACUCCGUGUGUGAUAAUUAUAGGAUUCUGUGCUAUAAUUUAUUCAUUUGAAUGACAAAUAGACUAUUUUGGUAAUUUUUUAUUGUAUCAAUGCAAUAUAUUUUUCAAUUUUUUAUUACAAAAAUCGUAAAAAAUAAAUUAUGAUUCAGAACAAUAAUAGUUCACCAUUGGGAGCGCUAACCGUUAGUUUUACAACUGAUUUGGCGAUUCUGUUUGUCGGUCACGAAUAAAGUUCGUACAUCACUGCUCGUCGUCUCACUAGUAUUAUCCUAAACUGUAAUCGAAAUAUAGCUAUAAUAAGGCGAACAAGACAGUAUUUAAUUAUGAUAAUAAUAACUAUAAUAAUAAUAACAUUAGGUUAGGUAAAUCAAUAAAAUUUGGGAGAAUGUAAACUUUCAAAGGCCUUGAAAAAAACCUUGAGUAUUCUAACUAUUGUUGGCGGUCAAAACGGUCAAGUUAACAAUAAUGAUUAUUUCUUUCAUAGACCUUAUCAACUAGCACACUGUAGUUUUUACACUCUACGCAUAAAGACAAAAAACCGAUACAACGUUUGAUAAGCAACAAGAGGUAUGACGGGAGAAAAAUACACGUUUUAUGGUUUUUUUUUUUUUCGUGAAAAACAGUGAUUUAUUAUAAAUAAAAUCACAGAUAAAGUACAAACCACGACCGUGGAUGUAUAGGACUGGAAACAAAAUGUGGGAGGAAUGCGAGGCCCGGAAUCACAGUGUAACGCGCGUGGUUCAAAUACGACUGUGGCUGUAUCUAUUGAUAAUAGUUCACUAUUUUCUUUUUACCUAAUACAAUCAAUGCUCACUGUUGAUGACGACAUGGACUAUUACAUCCGUGAUAAUGCUUUAGUAUACCUAUCAAAUCUUACUUGCUUAAAUUAUACGAUCUACUCCGUGGACCGUGAUAAAACGGACUAAGGUAUACAGGAAUGGAAACGAAAAUUGUUAUCAAUGGAACUAUAAUUUAACGCUAAAUGUACAAUAAUUAACUUUUACAAUAUCGAUUUUAAUUCCAUUUAUGAGCUAUUCGCAGCCAUAUAAAUAUUAUUACAAUCAUGAUAAUACUAUGUAAGCUCUGUUAUAUUUGUUAACAGUAACAGAUUUUUUGUAAACAUGUUUAUUGUAAAAAAGAAAAAAGAAAAUAUAAAUUGAGUUUUAACUAAUUUGAUACACUUUUUUUUAAAUUAAUUCUUAUUAUUUCCUAAUAUCCAUAUUUUUGUACACCAUCACAAAGCAUUUCCUCGUCAUUAUCAUGGAUAGUAAAAGAAAAAAAGAAGAAAUGUACUAUAAUCUAUGGAGUAGAUCUUUAAAUGUAAGCAAAUACAUGAUGUAAGAUUUUCGUGCCAUCAGUAUUAAUUUACUACGUACUAUGAAAUGGGGAAAUGAUCGAUUAAUGGAUUGAGCCACAUUAUGAUUCCAGCCCCGUACUCUUCUCGCCCUUCGUUUCCAGUCCUGCAUAUCUCAGUCCGUAGUACUAAAUCAUAUUAUUUACGAUAAAUAAAUGGUUUCCACGGUAAAAAAAAAAAAAAAAAAAAAUGUUUAAUAUAUAUUUUUUCUUCUCAGAUACCCUUUUAUGCUUAUCAAAUGUUGUUGGAUUAAUUUUCGGACAAGGCGCAUACCGCUAAAAGUCUAUGAUUCUUUUUCAUAAAAUAUUACAAGUGUGUUUAUAGAUUUUACAC
rnacentral:lncRNA from 1 species